rnacentral:rRNA from 1 species
CCUACGGGAGGCAGCAGUGAGGAAUAUUGGUCAAUGGGCUGACGCCUGAACCAGCCAAGUCGCGUGAGGGAAGACUGCCCUAUGGGUUGUAAACCUCUUUUGUCAGGGAGCAACGCCGGCUACGUGUAGCCGGACUGAGAGUACCUGAAGAAAAAGCAUCGGCUAACUCCGUGCCAGCAGUCGCGGUAAUACGGAGGAUGCGAGCGUUAUCCGGAUUGAUUGGGUUUAAAGGGUGCGUAGGCGGAAUGCCAAGUCAGCGGUAAAAUCGCGGGGCUCAACCUCGCUCCGCCGUUGAAACUGGCGUUCUUGAGUGGGCGAGAAGUAUGCGGAAUGCGUGGUGUAGCGGUGAAAUGCAUAGAUAUCACGCAGAACUCAGAUUGCGAAGGCAGCAUACCGGCGCCCAACUGACGCUGAAGCACGAAAGCGUGGGUAUCGAACAGGAUUAGAUACCCGGGUAGUC